UUGUCUCGUACAGAUUCAAAUCACUGACCUGAGAUGUGAAGCAUAUGGCUGCUAACCUUUUGAUUCAUCGCCCUCCCCCUCCCCAAACUCGCUCUGAUGCCAAACCCAGCAAAACAACUCCAUGGGAAGUUAAUUAUGGGGAGAGAGAGCCGGAGAGAAUGAAAAUCAGUUUAUGAUCGGAAUACUUUGCUGAGGGAAAUGAUAAUACGGUUACUUGGCUCAAUAAAAGGAGAAGAAAACUUUCUGAUGCUGCCAGACCUGCAGAGUUUUUCCAACAACUUUUUUGUUCCAAAGAUCACAUGGGGUUGACGGUAACUUACUAGCUUUGAUAAAGAACUGACUAACCAACAGAAAGCAGACAGUCCAGAUGAAUGGGUUAUUUUCUGAAUAAUGUCAUGGCACCUUUUAUAUGUACACGGAGAGGAAUAUGGGGCCUUGGUUUAAUAUAUCCACCAAAAGGCAAAGAAUGCAAUGAUGCUGCCCUUCUUCAGGACUACACUCAGAGGGACAUGUAUGUUCAAUUCCAAGGAUGAGACUUCAAAUGACAGUCGUUUGACUCAGAGUCAAAGGGUGGCAGCACUGAGCCAAACAGGGUAAACAGGCAAUUGUAGAAGAACCACGCCUCAAAAUCAAGAUGCUGAUGCGUGCCAUUUUGCUUAUAGGGUUUCUGUGUAA